AGGGCUGGAGCAGGCAGCCAGCAGGUGCCUGAUUAGGGUGUCCAUUUUAAUGCCUAGCUCUCAAGGCUGCAGCAGCAGUUUGCUGUCAGCCAACAUGGGAGGAACAUCACCCUGUUAAACUAAUACUCCAGGAACAUCUCAGAGGCCCCUUUUCUGUCUAGGCCCUGGGCGGCCACCCAGUUUGCCCAAGCCUGUGUCCAGCCCUGAAGUCCAGCAGCAACCUGCACUGACCAGUCACUGACCAGGCCAUGAGCUCAGUACAGCCAAAGAGAGAGGGGCUCUCCCAACUUGCCCCAUUUCCAGGUUGGCUGCUGCUUCUGUUGUUGACUUAUGGCAUGCCCAUUUAACAGGUGGGAAGCUACUGCACCUUUACAAACAAGGCUGGAAGAAUGGAACACAGGAGCAUGCAUCCAGACUUUUACUACCACAUAAUGUACCUGUGAAAGUAGCAUCAGUCCCACAGACUGGAAGCACAGGAAAUGCAACUCAGUAGUUUGCAUGAGACAGACAGGAGAGCUUUCACAGAUGCUGCAAGGAUCCUAUGCCUGAGACACCCAGGCCAGCUGUGCUGCUAGAGAAGUGACAUCGUGGGAAUCUGUAACUGCAGCUGACAUGACUGUGAUAUCAGUGCUGCUUUAGGCUUUGCAGUGCACCUCCUGUUAGGGUCUCAUCUUUUUCCCACAGCAGGCUUCAUAGCCCAUCAAAUGUCACUAGUCAGGUGAAAAUGCUGUUCAGCAUUUUUUCCCCUCCCCUUAAUACAAAUUUGCUCAAGUAAAAAUAUGUACUGUCUCAGAGACUUACAUGGGUGUGAAAGGCUGGAUGAAAUAAAGGCUUUCUUCAGGUUAAAAAAACAACAAACUAGUUAUGUGACAUUCUCCGAUUCCCUGGAGACCUUUUUGCACAAGAGAUGGGGAGAAGCUUUAUACGCUCUGGAUACAGAAACAAAGGAAAAAAUUAAACCUGUGUAAAUCAUUGCUGUGGCAGUAAUUGGGUGGGGUUUGAAUAAAUAAGCAGGUACAUACCAAAGGCAGUCAACGUCAAGGGAAUACCUCCAGCUAUGGUCUUGUCCUGUUUCAGAAGCUAAGCAGAUUUGGGCCUCAUCUGUGUUUAGAUGGGAAGCUUCCAAGAAAAACUUAGGUGGGGCAGGAAGUGGUGAAUCAGGAGGUGAUGCUUCCGCCUGAGGCAGUACAGUAGUGAGCACUGUUCUGCAAUCGUUGCCAUGUUUGGAUGAGUUAAAGAACCUGAGCAUUUCUACAAGUUGCAACUCUGGUGUCACUGGAUGGGUGUUUGCCUCAGGGAUCUGGUGAAAUACUGACUUGAUAAUCCACCAAAUAACAAUAUCACAGUGGCUUCAGUUGGAUGAGGCCUUUCUCUUACCACAUGCAGGCCAUGUCUACAUUGGCUCCAGAUUAUGCUAGGGAGCACCACAGUGGUACCUGCUUAGCACUGCUCUAACACUCUUAUGUUCCACCUGUUUGGGGGUGAGCAGGCACAGAGAAGUCAUGCUCCACUUCACUGAACAACCCCCAACAUGUGGCCAUGCCCCUCAAUCCUGAACUCUGACUUUGUGCUGGGUAAAG